GAUGAACGCUAGCGGCAGGCCUAACACAUGCAAGUCGAGGGAGAAGCCCUUCGGGGCAGAAACCGGCGCACGGGUGCGUAACGCGUAUGCAACCUACCCUUCACAGGGGGAUAGCCCGAAGAAAUUUGGAUUAAUACCCCAUAAUAUUAUUGGGUGGCAUCAUUUGAUAAUUAAAAUUACGAUGGUGAAAGAUGGGCAUGCGUCCUAUUAGCUAGUUGGAGUGGUAACGGCACCCCAAGGCUACGAUAGGUAGGGGUCCUGAGAGGGAGAUCCCCCACACUGGUACUGAGACAGGGACCAGACUCCUACGGGAGGCAGCAGUGAGGAAUAUUGGUCAAUGGUCGGAAGACUGAACCAGCCAUGCCGCGUGCAGGAAGAAUGCCUUAUGGGUUGUAAACUGCUUUUAUAUGGGAAGAAUAAGGAGUACGCGUACUUUGAGACGGUACC
rnacentral:rRNA from 1 species